rnacentral:rRNA from 1 species
CCUACGUGAGGCAGCAGUGGGGAAUAUUGGACAAUGGGCGAAAGCCUGAUCCAGCCAUGCCGCGUGUGUGAAGAAGGCCUUCGGGUUGUAAAGCACUUUCAGUGGGGAAGAAAGCCUUGGGGCUAAUACCCUCGAGGAAGGACAUCACCCACAGAAGAAGCACCGGCUAACUCCGUGCCAGCAGCCGCGGUAAUACGGAGGGUGCGAGCGUUAAUCGGAAUUACUGGGCGUAAAGCGCGCGUAGGCGGUCUGAUAAGCCGGUUGUGAAAGCCCCGGGCUCAACCUGGGAACGGCAUCCGGAACUGUCAGGCUAGAGUGCAGGAGAGGAAGGUAGAAUUCCCGGUGUAGCGGUGAAAUGCGUAGAGAUCGGGAGGAAUACCAGUGGCGAAGGCGGCCUUCUGGACUGACACUGACGCUGAGGUGCGAAAGCGUGGGUAGCAAACAGGAUUAGAUACCCGGGUAGUC